GACGAACGCUGGCGGCGUGCCUAAUACAUGCAAGUAGGACGCAGUUGCGAACGGUUGAGUAACGCGUAGGUAACUACCUAUUAGAGAGGGAUAAAUAUUGGAAAAGAUAGCUAAAACCGCAUACUAGUAGAUGGACCUGCGUUGUAUUAGCUAGUAUGUUGGGUAAUGGCCUACCUAGGCAACGAUACAUAGCCGACCUGAGAGGGUGGUCGGGCACACCUGGACUGAGACACGGCCCAGACUCCUACGGGAGGCAGCAGUAGGGAAUCUUCGGCAAUGGGGGGAACGCUGACCGAGCAACGCCGCGUGAGUUAAGAAGGUUUUCGGAUCGUAAAGCUCUGUUGUGAAGGAAGCGGUACUUAACCAGAAAGGGACGGCUAACUACGUGCCAGCAGCCGCGGUAAUUC
rnacentral:rRNA from 1 species